CAAGGAGUCAGGUUGACCAUUCCUAGCAGAACUAGUAAGCCAACUUCAUCUCCGAGCACUCCCUAGGCAACCCCUCCUACACAGAGCACUAUUCAGGCAUCCCCUCCAUCUACUCGGAGCACUAUCCAGACAACCCCGAUAGCUACUCAAAAUACUGAAAGGUCAUCAAACAGGACAAUAAGGGUUGGACACUGUGUCAGGAAGUCAAGAUGCCUCAGUGGAGAAAUUGGUGACCAGUGUAUUGGAAGAAAUUCGUUGAGUUGACUCUUCAGGCCAGAAGGUGUCUGCUGAAAAUCAUAUUGUCGACUGCAAUCUAUCAUAAAGUGUAGUUUUUGUGAAGUUAAACCUUCAGGCCAGAAGUUGUCUGCUGAAAAUUAUCACGAAUUGUAUAUUGGGUAAAGUUCAACUUUAGGCCAGAAGUUGUCUGCUGAUGUUUGGAGAAUAUCAUGUAUCGUACACAUAUGUGGUUAUCCAUUUAUGUUUAAUAGGUGAUAGCUAAGGUUUAAAGUAUGGGUAUUGCGACACCAAAAAUUGUCUUUUUAAUUGCAUUUUGUAGACAUGUUUUGAGCCAGACUCCUUUAACUUACAUUCUAACAUACAUGUUAAUAUCGGUCAUUAUCAAAUAUAUGUAACCUUGGUGUUGCAAUUGUUACCAAGAAAAAAAAUUUGCCUACCUCUGAGUUGAUCAAGUACAUCAUGCAAUAGUCAGAUUUGAAUGUGCAAAAUUAUUACUACUAGGUGAUUUUAAGUUGAUUUCUAAUUAUACAUGUAAUAGGAAAACUGGUUAUAAUGUAUGUCCUCGUAAUACAAGUUCACUUUGGGUGGCAGUGUGUACAAACAUUGCAUGCUUGUAAAGACUUUGGCAGUUUUUGUCUGCCACCUUUUUUGCUGAUUGUUAUUUUUUACAUUCUGGAUUGUUUAUUUGGAUUUUCUACAUGUACUAUGUUACACUGGGGAGAUCAACUAAUGUUUUGUACAAAUUUACACAUUUUUUCAAGAGUGAUCUCCCCUUUAUCUGAUGUAUCUUUUCAUUAUCUGUCGUCAUUUAUACAUGUAUAAUAAAUGACAAAUUCAUCCAUCAAA